GCUUGCUACCUAACCUAGCGGCGGACGGGUGAGUAAUGCUUAGGAAUCUGCCUAUUAGUGGGGGACAACAUUCCGAAAGGAAUGCUAAUACCGCAUACGCCCUACGGGGGAAAGCAGGGGAUCUUCGGACCUUGCGCUAAUAGAUGAGCCUAAGUCAGAUUAGCUAGUUGGUGGGGUAAAGGCCUACCAAGGCGACGAUCUGUAGCGGGUCUGAGAGGAUGAUCCGCCACACUGGGACUGAGACACGGCCCAGACUCCUACGGGAGGCAGCAGUGGGGAAUAUUGGACAAUGGGCGAAAGCCUGAUCCAGCCAUGCCGCGUGUGUGAAGAAGGCCUUUUGGUUGUAAAGCACUUUAAGCGAGGAGGAGGCUACCGAGAUUAAUACUCUUGGAUAGUGGACGUUACUCGCAGAAUAAGCACCGGCUAACUCUGUGCCAGCAGCCGCGGUAAUACAGAGGGUGCGAGCGUUAAUCGGAUUUACUGGGCGUAAAGCGUGCGUAGGCGGCUUUUUAAGUCGGAUGUGAAAUCCCUGAGCUUAACUUAGGAAUUGCAUUCGAUACUGGGAAGCUAGAGUAUGGGAGAGGAUGGUAGAAUUCCAGGUGUAGCGGUGAAAUGCGUAGAGAUCUGGAGGAAUACCGAUGGCGAAGGCAGCCAUCUGGCCUAAUACUGACGCUGAGGUACGAAAGCAUGGGGAGCAAACAGGAUUAGAUACCCUGGUAGUCCAUGCCGUAAACGAUGUCUACUAGCCGUUGGGGCCUUUGAGGCUUUAGUGGCGCAGCUAACGC
rnacentral:rRNA from 2 species